rnacentral:rRNA from 1 species
AGUAGAACGCUGAGAGAGGAGCUUGCUCUUCUUGGAUGAGUUGCGAACGGGUGAGUAACGCGUAGGUAACCUGCCUUGUAGCGGGGGAUAACUAUUGGAAACGAUAGCUAAUACCGCAUAACAAUGGAUGACACAUGUCAUUUAUUUGAAAGGGGCAAUUGCUCCACUACAAGAUGGACCUGCGUUGUAUUAGCUAGUAGGUGAGGUAAUGGCUCACCUAGGCGACGAUACAUAGCCGACCUGAGAGGGUGAUCGGCCACACUGGGACUGAGACACGGCCCAGACUCCUACGGGAGGCAGCAGUAGGGAAUCUUCGGCAAUGGGGGCAACCCUGACCGAGCAACGCCGCGUGAGUGAAGAAGGUUUUCGGAUCGUAAAGCUCUGUUGUAAGUCAAGAACGGGUGUGAGAGUGGAAAGUUCACACUGUGACGGUAGCUUACCAGAAAGGGACGGCUAACUACGUGCCAGCAGCCGCGGUAAUACGUAGGUCCCGAGCGUUGUCCGGAUUUAUUGGGCGUAAAGCGAGCGCAGGCGGUUUGAUAAGUCUGAAGUUAAAGGCUGUGGCUCAACCAUAGUUCGCUUUGGAAACUGUCAAACUUGAGUGCAGAAGGGGAGAGUGGAAUUCCAUGUGUAGCGGUGAAAUGCGUAGAUAUAUGGAGGAACACCGGUGGCGAAAGCGGCUCUCUGGUCUGUAACUGACGCUGAGGCUCGAAAGCGUGGGGAGCGAACAGGAUUAGAUACCCUGGUAGUCCACGCCGUAACGAUGAGUGCUAGGUGUUGGAUCCUUUCCGGGAUUCAGUGCCGCAGCUAACGCAUAAGCACUCCGCCUGGGGAGUACGACCGCAAGGUUGAAACUCAAGGAAUUGACGGGGCCCGCACAAGCGGUGGAGCAUGUGGUUUAAUUCGAAGCAACGCGAGAACCCUUACCAGGUCUUGACAUCCCGAUGCUAUUUCUAGAGAUAGAAAGUUACUUCGGUACAUCGGUGACAGGUGGUGCAUGGUUGUCGUCAGCUCGUGUCGUGAGAUGUUGGGUUAAGUCCCGCAACGAGCGCAACCCCUAUUGUUAGUUGCCAUCAUUCAGUUGGGCACUCUAGCGAGACUGCCGGUAAUAAACCGGAGGAAGGUGGGGAUGACGUCAAAUCAUCAUGCCCCUUAUGACCUGGGCUACACACGUGCUACAAUGGUUGGUACAACGAGUUGCGAGUCGGUGACGGCGAGCUAAUCUCUUAAAGCCAAUCUCAGUUCGGAUUGUAGGCUGCAACUCGCCUACAUGAAGUCGGAAUCGCUAGUAAUCGCGGAUCAGCACGCCGCGGUGAAUACGUUCCCGGGCCUUGUACACACCGCCCGUCACACCACGAGAGUUUGUAACACCCGAAGUCGGUGAGGUAACCUUUUGGAGCCAGCCGCCUAAGGUGGGACAGAUGAUUGGGGUGAAGUCGUAUCAAG